AGGAAAUCCGUUCCCGACACACUGAGGUUCUCUUUUAAUGCCACCGACCAAUUCAGACAUGAGCCCAGGCCCACUCCGUGUCACAUAACAUGCUGACUCUCAAAGGUCAGAGGCGAAGGGAGCGCGCUGGCAUCAUGUUUGAUGAAUGUGCUGGACAGUUCAGGGGAUUUAUUUGGCGUUUACUCGUUUCACUCGCAUCCUGCUCUCACAGCUGGUCACACGGGUGGGAAGGCAAGUGCAAGACCAGCAUGUGAACAGGAAGUGAGGCGGCCUGCUGCUGGGCUGCAUUCCUUCUCUUUGUCUCACCUGCUGAUUAUCAGCUGGAUCGCACAGGUGAGUCACACCUGCUGGACCUGAGUAUCAGCCAGGAAAACAGUUUUAUCUCACCUGUGACCUAUGAGCCAAUCAGACAGCAGAUCAUCAGACCUGCUCAUGACGUGCUGGAGGGGGAACAAUAGGAAUGACAGG
ensembl:lncRNA